AUGAGCAACCAAGAGAAGUGCCACAGGACAAGCAUGCAGCACCUCCGCUAUCUCGAUAGCUUUAUGGAUGAAAUAGACCGUGAGGUCAUGAGCCUGACGGAUCGAGCUUUCAAGAGUCUGUGCAUUGGAGAUGAAGCUGUCUACAAUGACUCAGAGUUUUCCCCCUCUCCAGUCAGCUGCCACAAGCCAGUGGUGGAGGACGUCUCAAAAAAGACUCAGGAGAGCUCAUUUUCUGCAGCCAAAAAACUUAAUUCUUACCCCCUUAAUGGAGCGAAUGAUUCGUUGAGCAGAUCAAAUAAGUCAUCCAAAGACUUGUCGCUUUUUGCAGUGUUUGCGGCCAAAAAGAAUGGUGAGAGCACCAAGAUGACAAAUGGUGAUUCAUGGGACAAGUCUGCUCUACUCAGCAUCCAGAGAGAGCUCUCAGAGUUUUCUUCAGAUUAUCACAGUUUAACAGUGGAACAUCUUUCCCAAGCCAAGAAUCAUCUCAAAUCAGAUGAAAAAGUGUCUGCCAGGAAAUCAAGCAAGGAUGCGUUGAUUCCAUCUGAAAAAUCCUCUAAAAGUAAACAAGGCAAAAACAACAAACUGAGAAAACUGAAUUGCAUUAACUUUUUCCUCCACAGCGAACUCAGCCCAUUUUUGUCAUGGAGGGAAUUUAAUACGUUCUCUAUCGGGCAGGAGCACAUUUCGAAGAUUAUGUUAAGCAAUAGACCACCUGAGUGGUAUGAUUCACCUCUUUACAAAGAGUUAACUGCAGCACAUGGACACUAUAAAUUAAGUGUUCCCCCAUCAGUGGAAAAAGAAACUGAAAAGUGUCCUAAACAAAGUGAGACUCAUCCGCUUAAACCACAAUUUGCACAGAAUUCAGCACCCCCCAAACCAGAGAAAGAGUCCGAGCACAUCCAGCACAAUAUUCCUAGAAAGGCUCCUCCACCUACUGCUGAACAGAGAUGUAAUUCAGAAAGGGCGGAAGCUUGCGUUCCCUGGCGAAAAAGCCGCAGUAGAGCAAAAAGUGUUGCACCUGUGUGGCAUUCUGUUAAUUCACUGGCCUGUGAAAGGACAAAAGCUGGAGAAGGGAGUGCACAGGCAUUUAAAAAAGAAGAGGACCAAUCCUCUGCUAGUUCAACUCCUUUCAGUAUUUCACAGCUG
rnacentral:lncRNA from 1 species